CGUAAUGCGCCGGGGACUGCGUAAUGCGCCAAGGGCAGAGGUUCUGCUUCCGGUGAGCGGAACCCGGUUCCCCUUUGUGUGUAGGUGGUCCCCAGGGCGAGCCGUCUGAUUUUGCUGUGCUGACUCUUUCACCUACCGUGUAUGAUUCCAAAUAACUACUUUCUCCAGCAUCUGUCUCUCUCUCUCUCUUUUUUUUUUUUGGUCCUUUCACUGUUAGUGUCCCUUUCGAAUAAUCUCGGACACUUUAAUCCGCCCCAUCUCCAUGGCAACAAAUUCGGGUCCAGCCCAUCCCCCCAAUCUCCCGGCUGGCCGGCCUUCGUUACCGUCUAAGAAUUGAUUUCCGACCACAAAGAAAUAACGGCUCUUGAAACUUACUUUUACAACCGUUGAUAACCCCCACAUCGUCUUAACAGCAAUCGCUCUCUUCUGGUAGCAGUGCACCUUGAGACUUUCUCAGUUUGCUCUAACAGCUAGGGCAGCUGUUCCGGCCCUGCUUGUAAAAAACCUCUAUGCCAGAGCCCCUCUCCACUUAGUCCAAAUUCCGGAAAAUGACGCAGAAAAGACUAAAGACGCCGUGAAAGGAUAGUUCUUGUAUUGAACAUCAAUCGGAAGACUUACUUCCCGAGGCUUGUUCUCAUGCUCCCUGCUCAGUCUAAGCCUCCCCCAGGACCUAAAUGGUGAUGACUUCCAAAUCUCUUAUUUCCAGCCUGGACUCCUCUCCUGAGUUACAAGCCAGUACUUCUAGCUACGUAAUGGACAGCUCCACUUUGGUGAACUCAGAAAACUUGAACUUACAUACACACGGUUUCCUGUAUCCCCUUUCUGACUACCACUCCUUCAUCUGUCAGAUCAAGUUUGAAGGCCAUCUACAGGAGAACUCCAUCUUGCUUGAGGAGGCAGGCUUUUCUGUUCAAGUCUUCAACUGAUUGGAUGAGGGAACUGAGAUCCCACAUCAACCUGCUGCAUGCCAUAGCGAAAAAUAAAAGAUUUUCAGAUCACUUUCCUACCAGAGUCAUUGAAUGUGAUGUAAGCCUGACACUUAGAAGCUAUCUCCAAGUUCUUAUGAAAUGCUGCUGUGCAUUACUGAAUUAACCCCUUUCUUUAUAACUUCCUUUUAUAUAUUUUAAUGUUUAAAUGAAUGAUGUUAGUCACUAUGUUAAAAACUCUGAUAUAAAGUAUUUUCUU